rnacentral:lncRNA from 1 species
UUAUACGAAGGUUUAUCAAAUAGGCCAUAACAAGAAUAUCAUAUGGUAAAACUCGUCAGAAAAUCAAAAUGCAAUGAGCAUGAGGCUCCGUACUGUGGGAUGAUCAGUCCACACAGGUUGGUGACUCCCCCGACCAACUAGGGUUCAGAUACGAUGUGCACAAAGACUAACACUACCCUGUUAGCAUGGGUAUUCUGACUUAGGUUCAUAAUCAUAAUCAAACAAACAUAUUCAUAUCUCAAAGCUCAACUCAUGACAUCAAUCAAAUGAGGAGCUAUCAAUUCAGAAGUCAAAUCAUAUUGGUUCAUAUCAAGAAAUCAGAUUCAAUAAUUGAUCAUGCUUUUAUCAUAAGGAUAAUAAUCAACAUAUAUAUUAUCAAGAAGCAUGAUCCAAUUCAUAUUAACAAAUCAAAUAUUUAUAAUAUUUCUCAUGCAUAUGGAAAAUUAUCCACUCACCUGACUCAAAAGCAAACAGAAGCCAAAAGCAGACACUGAAGAAAAUCCUACU